rnacentral:lncRNA from 1 species
AAUGACCACAGCUACACGUGUCCUCGAAUUUUGAAUAUAAAAGACCGACUAAAAUCUUAAAUCGACCAGAAUCUGCUUGUAACAGAAUCAACAAACAUCUAACAAUGAAAUCUAUGAUCGCUGCCGUUCUUCUCGCCCUUGUGGCCACCACCUUUGCAGGAUAUCUUGGCUAUGGUGGAUAUGGUGGCUUAGGAUAUGGUUAUGGAGGAUACGGUUUCGGAGGAUACCCAGUAGGCCGAGCUGUUGCAUACAGUACCAGCAUCCGUCACCCAGGUUACGGAUACGGAUUGGGCUAUGGUCUUGGUGGAUACGGUUAUGGUCUCGGCUACGGAGGUUAUGGUCUCGGAUAUGGAGG